GGGGCCGCGGGUCCAGACCCCGCGGCUACCGAGAUGCGGCCGCCAAGGUGUGCUGGGCGGACUCGUCUACGCUGUUGCUCGCCGCAGCCUUGUGGAGAAACUGACCCGGGCGACCUCUCGGCCAGACUCCGGACUCGCCUUUGUCCCAGCUCUGCGGGCUGAAUCUUCUCUCGCCGUGGAGAAUCGCUGCUAUAUAUCAGCACUCAAGCCUUUGGACUUAGAUCUGGACCUGCACCAUUACCUCCCUUGGUUCUCAAACUUUCAGGCUUAUUCUAGAAUAUCACUGAUGUUCCUGGACUUCCAGCAUGGAGACAGCAGAUCAUGAGACUUCUCAGCUUUCAUAAUCAUCCGUCAUUGUUUGGCAGGCCCGGGCUGGAUUCGAACCCACCAGCUCAGGUGUAUGUGGCUGGCACCUUAGCCACUUCAGCUGUUGUUAGAGACAGAGUCUCACUUUACCUGCCAUGAUGUCACAGGACUCACAGCAAUCUCCAGCUCUUGGGCUUCAGCGAUUCUCCUGCCUCAGCCUCCCAAGCAGCUGGGACUACAGGCGCCCGCCACAACGCCCGGCUAUUUUUUGGUUGCAGUUCAGCCGGGGCUGGGUUUGAACCUGACACCCUCGGUAUAUGGGGCCGGCGCACUACUCACUGAGCCACAGGCACCACCCUCUUUUUUUUUUUUUUUUUUUGCAGUUUUUGGCCAGGGCUGGGUUUGAACCCACCACCUCUGGCAUAUGGGGCCAGUGCCCUACUCCUGUGAGCCACAGGCACCGUCCCAGUAGUUGUCUAUUUUUAAUUGCACAUGAACCCUGUAUAUAUUAGUCUGUUAUUCACUACCGUAAAAUGUACACAGUCUAAUAUAAAAAGUUAAUUUAUCAAAACUGAUAAAGGGACACACUGUACAUGGCACCAUUUGUGGUCAAGAAAAAACAUAAAGAAAGAUGUAGUAUUAAAUCAUGACUGCAUAAAAUUAACUAUAGUACUACUAUAAUAAUUCAUAGAUGCCUCCUAUUGCUAUUUCUGUGAGCUCAAGUGUUGCAAGUAUCCACUUAAAAUGCCAUGUGAUGCUAAUCAUCUCCCGGUAAGCGGUUCUCUCUCCAGUAAAUUACGUAUCGUGGUAAAAAGUGAUCUCUUAUGGUUCUCACACAUUUUUCUUCUUGUUUCUUCUUAUUGUUUCUUCAGCAAUACCACAAACCUUGAAUUAUACUGUGGAACCCACAAGAAGUGCCACUAGUGAUGCUGGAUGUGCUCCCAAGCAGCAGAGAAAUCAUGACAUAAUGAGAAGUUGAAUUGUUUUGCACACACUGUAGAUUGACAUCUGCAGCUGCAGUUGCCUCCUAUUUCAAGGCAGAAUCCAAGCCAUGUGUGGUGGUACACACCUGUGUGGUCUCAGCUACUCAAGAGACUGAGCUCAGGAGUUCCAGGACAGCCUGGCAACAAAAUCAAGUCUCUUUAAAAUAAAGCAAAACUAGGCAGCUACCGUUGUUAGGUAAUUGCCCCAGAAAAGCCUCUCCUACUUUCUACAGACCAAGAUUAACUAUGGCCUGCCGCUAACGCCUCUUCCAGCCAGGGCAGUAACUC